UCCAUAAAAUAAAACCUUCUUCCUUUUAACCUUUCACUGUUGCACUUAGAACUCAAGCUCUACAACUUUCAAUCCCACUUCUCUAUUUAUCUCCUUUUUCUUAAAAUUCCUUCCUUUUCCUUUCACCAUGGUUGCUACUUCAAACUCUACCGAAGGAAGCAACCUUUCUAAUGUUGUCACUGCUACUAAACUCUUGGAGUUUAAUGGAAAGAGAUUAGCUUAUUUUCCAAGCCUACAACCAGAGACAAAGAAGCUCUGGGAGACUCAGUUAAUCAUCCCUUUCUCACUGGCUGAAAAGUCUUGGAGUUUAAUGGAAAGAGAUUUGCUCCUUCUCCAAGCCUAGAAGCAGAGACAAAGAAGCUCUAGGAGAUUCAGCACUGCCUAAGAAAAUUCCAGAGAACCAUGAUGCUUCGAAUGAUGCAAGUAGUGAUGAAGAACCAAAACAAGGCAAAGAAGUCUUCUUCCAAACCAAAGAGCAAUAUUGCCAUUAAGGAUGGAAGUGUGGUGAACAUAUCUUCCUCUCAAGAUCAAGAAGCUAAUAGUGAUCAAGAUUAGGAGCUCAAUGUUGCUUCCAAGAAUCUCAUGGAUCCCAUACCUGAAGAUAUUAUGGUAAAUGUGGUCGAAAUGGAAAUAAAGACAGUAGGGAAUGUGGAUCCACCUUCAAAACCACCAACCGAAUUAGAUGAAGGUAGCAAGAACGAAUUACUCAUAUUCAUAUGCUUUUUAAGAGCUCAAUGUUAUGUCAUUCGAAAAGUCUUUGGUUCUAAAAAGUUUUAUUUCAUCCCAAGAUUCUGAGGAAAGAAGAAGAGAAAUAAGCAACUGCUAAAGAAGACAAAGAAGAAGCAAAUAAUGAACCAGAGUCUUCGAAGAGCCCAACACCUUCCUAAGAAGCACAAGAAAAGGAACAAGCUACCCGUGAAAGUGAAUCUUCUCCUAACAAGACCAUGCAUGAAGAGGGUUAUGUUAACAUGCAAGCUCAAUCUAAUCCUUCAUCCAUUCUUCAAAAAUGCACUCCUACUCAUGUCACUUCAACAAUUCAAUCAAACCCAAUGGAAAAAGAACCUUCGAGCAUUGCUCAUACCAAUAACAAAGCAACAGUUAGAGUUCAAGAGGUCACCAAAAACCCAUUUUUGCUCCUCAAACUUAUUUCGAGUGAUUCGACCAUCUCCAAAGGAUCUGACACCAGUGUGCCAAAGCCUACCUCCAACCAAAUCUUUGAGCAAGCAAUCACAUAUUUUUGAAGGCUAGCAUAUUCUCAAUCUCUUAGGUUAAUCUUGAUAUUCUAUCUUUUUGAGGUUAAUCUUGAUAUUCUUUUCUACAUUGAGGUGAUUAAACUAGUUGAGGAAAUUAAAAAAAUGGAUUUAAAUAUUUUUAUGGUUUUGGUUUAUAGAAGAAAAAAAAUAAACUAAUGCAAAGAGAGAUUUGAGUGAUGAUAAGAGUGACAAUGGGUUAUGAUUCACUAGUACCAAUUUUCUCCUAAUCCCAAUACCAAUGAAAUUCCUUUCCCAGUUAGUUAUUGAUUCUCAAAAUCAACCAAAGCCUAUAAUGAAGGUCAGAGGAUAUUCUUUCCCCUAAAUCAAUACUCCAAUGAUCAUGACUCUAUCAAUUUAAGUCAUAUGAUAUAACUAAUUCUAGGGAUGAUUAAUUAAAUAUUAACUAAUCUAUCGAAGAUUACUCAAAUAGUUUGAUCAUAUAAUUUGGUGUAAAAUAUUCUCUACCUAGAUUUAUCAAUUACAUGUAGAUGAUCAAUUACAUUCUAGGGCAUUCUAGAUUGGCUAUGACCCUCAUGGUAGACCAUGACCCUCAUGAAUUAACCAAGAUCAUGGUGAAUUUAUCAUGGCCUUUGUCGGAUUAUCAACGUUAUUUUGGAGGGUUGCUAUCAUCUUAUUGUAGUUGUGGUAAAUGUACCAUGAUUGCGAUCAAGUGCAGAGUCUUCAAACCUUCAUAAAAUCAUAAAAUUUCCAACUUUUUUUCACUCAAGUGAGCAAUUUUACUUAUGCAACACAAAACCAAUGUCUAAACAUGAGUUAUGCUAAGAAAAUGAAUGCAAAAUGAUAAAAAAAAAAACUCACAAAAUAUCAUUCAAAAAGUGGUUUAUCAACCUCUUCACACUUGAGCAUUGCGUGUCCUCAAGCAAUUAUUCCAAUUCCCAGUCAAAAAAAAUUCUCCUUAGUCAAAACUCAUUCAACAAAAAUUCACAUUUAUUCAACAAGUAAAAAACUCACACAUUAGGCCAUCAAAAACUUUGGAAUCCAUUAGGCAUAUAAUUAACAUGCAAAUUGUCAUAAAGAGCUUGAAUUCCUCUCUUCUCACCAUGUCUUAGUAUUUUAUAGUGUUAUAUAGAUAAACAGUUACACUUAAGAUCACAAUUGAAAGAAAUGACAAGUUCACAACUUUGUAGAUCAAUCAACUCAACUCAAAUAAAUCCAAAAAUUCCAAAUAAGUGAGACAUCUUAGGUUGUAAUGGGUUAGACAUUUAAUGUAAGGUAGGCAUUCAAAGAAACAGGCUAAUAAAGGGUGCCACUCAAUCAUAUGAAAAAACUCAGGAAUUAGGUUAGCUUCUACCUGUUU